UACGGGGGGGGCAAGGCGUUGUUCGGAAUUACUGGGCGUAAAGGGCUCGUAGGCGGCCAACUAAGUCGGAUGUGAAAUCCCCAGGCUCAACCUGGGAACUGCAUCCGAUACUGGAUGGCUUUGAAAUUCGGGAGAGGGAUGCAGAAUUCCAAGGUGUAGCGGUGAAAUGCGUAGAUAUCUGGAGGAAUACCGGUGGCGAAGGCGGGUCUCUGGGCCGAUACUGACGCUGAGGAGCGAAAGCGUGGGGAGCGAACAGG
rnacentral:rRNA from 1 species